GACGAACGCUGGCGGCGUGGAUUAGGCAUGCAAGUCGGACGGUAGGGCUUUAUCGUAAGAUAGAGUUUGAGAGUGGCGAACGGGUGAGUAACACGUAGGAAUCUACCCUUAAGACGGGGGACAACCCAGGGAAACUUGGGCUAAUACCGGAUGAGAGUGCGAGAGAUUGCAUUUAAAAGGAUGGCGAAAGUUGUCGCUUAGGGAUGAGCCUGCGGUCUAUUAGUUAGUUGGUGAGGUAAGAGCUCACCAAGGCGAUGAUAGAUAGGCGGCCUUAACGGGUGGUCGCCCACACUGGGAUUGAGAUACGGCCCAGACUCCUACGGGAGGCAGCAGUCGAGAAUAGUCUACAAUGGCCGGAAGGCUGAUAGUGCGACGCCGCGUGAACGAGGGAGCCCUUCGGGUGGUAAAGCUCUGUCCUCGUGGGAAGAAGAAUGUGACGGUACCCACAGAGAAAGCCCCGGCUAACUACGUG
rnacentral:rRNA from 1 species